AGCAGCAGGGGUGCCGGAAACGGCUGAGACAGAAAUACUCUGAACCCUUAUACCUGAUUUGGAUCAUGCCAACGUAGGGAGCGAAGUAA
rnacentral:ncRNA from 1 species